UAGGCCUUUCCGAAAGAGGCAGACAUGGGAAAAGCCUUUCUGCUUAGUCCCAUUGCUUUGGAAGGGAAAGCAAGACUAGAGCUGGAGAUUAGAAUGCAGCCCUUCCCUAACUGCAGCUGCAAUCGGGAUUUCCGAAAUUCCAGUUUUUGAGGAUUCGGCGCGGUGUCGUUGGGGCCCGGUGCCACCGGGGUUUGCAGAUCUGGAAGUCGCUCCCAGGGUGGGAGCUCCUCAGUACAUCCAAUCACCCGAACGUACACAGGGUUUUACGUUGUCACCGUGUCUGUCUCCUCUAGCAAUGGUGUCUGUCCUUCCCAGAGGUGAGGGAGCCCUGAGGACAACUGGGGAGAAGCAGGAUCCCCUUCAGACAACGCUAGCAAACGGACCCUGAAGCAGAACACCCUGAGUUUCAGUGUUGUGUUGUGGCUCACGCGAGUGAUUGUGGAGGAAGCCAAGUUUCUGACUCUCCUCUAGAAAAGCUCUUCCAGGCUACAAAGCCCCUCCUUUUCCAGUUAUGCCUGACACAGGGUAUUCCCAUCUAAACUAUCUUCUCGUAUUUUGGCACAUUCCAGAAAUUUUCCCCAAAUAAGAAAUUGUAAUAUAUUCCAGAUACAAAGCAUGAAUAUACAGAAACUUACUCUGCUAACACAUUUAGACUUAGUAUUAACUCAGAUUCUAGUGGUUCUUUGUGAACUGUAAAUAAGAUACCAGUUCAAAAGGCUUUUGUAAUUCUAAAAUGAUAUACUGACAUAUUUCUUUAUCUGAGUUCUCAAAAGACAGAGUCCUUUCACAGUUGCUGUAGUUUGGGGAUUUUGCAGGUGGGGGAGCCUGGGGGCUGGUGGUCAUUGGCCUGUGCACUAGAAGGGAAUGCUUGGACCCCAGCCCCUUCGCUUUCUUUUUGCUUCUGGGCAGUUACGGGGUGAGUAGACCACGCGGUGUAACAUGCUUCCCAUUGGCCCAGUGGCAACAGGACUCAGUCACCUCUGAAACUGCCCUCCUUACAAGAUGUUUAUUUCAGGUAUUGUGUCACAGUGAUGCACAACUAACACAAUAGUCAAAGCCAUUAAAUUAGAGAGAAUGGUAUGAUUUUGUAAUUGACUUAAUAUUCUUUUCACCUACUGGGUGUUGGAAUUCCAGAUGUAGAAAUACCAAAUACAGCUGACCUUUUUAGAUUAAACAACAUAAUGCAAAUUAAAAGAUUCAAACAAUUAGUGAAUUUAAAGCUUUAUAGAUCGCUACGCAAAGUCAUUCCACACAUUUUUGCAAAAAAAAGGAACAAGGAUUUACUUUUGUAUUCAUGAGAGUUAUGGAUAUUAAUUUUCAUGGGCGAAAUGUUAACUGAUAACUAAAUAUAUCUUUUGAUGGAUUACAUUUACAAUUUUCUUUUUUGAAUUUCUAUCAGCUUCAUGUUAACAAAUGAAAGUUAACUUCUUAUUUUACUUUUAUUUGUACACGUUUGCAGUAUGUAAUGGCUACACUCCUCAUGAGUUGGCAUAUGUACAUACCACAGUUUAAUUCUUUUUAUGUCUUCCUCCUUCCCCUCUGCAUAUGUUCCAUUCUUUGAAACUGUAUUUAAACAUGUUGCUUAAACACUCUUCUCUCCUGUGAUGCAAUGGUACCUCAGGACCUCCUCAUAAUGAUUAUAUAACGCCUAACACAGCCUGCGCUAGAUGGACUGUCUGAGGGGGCAGAGAAACAAGGCAAUCCAGAAUCUUGGAGAAGUCACGUUGCUAAAACAAUGCCAUUACC
rnacentral:lncRNA from 1 species